UACGAAGGGGGGCUAGCGUUGUUCGGAAUUACUGGGCGUAAAGCGCACGUAGGCGGAUUGUUAAGUUAGGGGUGAAAUCCCAGGGCUCAACCCUGGAACUGCCUUUAAUACUGGCAAUCUCGAGUCCGAGAGAGGUGAGUGGAAUUCCGAGUGUAGAGGUGAAAUUCGUAGAUAUUCGGAGGAACACCAGUGGCGAAGGCGGCUCACUGGCCCGAUACUGACGCUGAGGUGACGAAAGCUAGGGGAGCAAACAGG
rnacentral:rRNA from 1 species